rnacentral:lncRNA from 1 species
CACCAUCUUGGAAGCGGCCCACCACCAUCUUGGGAGCUCUGGGAGCAAGGACCCCCCAGUAACAGUAAUGCUUAUUAAGUGUGGCUAUCUUGAGAUUUUAGGACUGACAUGUCAUUACAGCUGUCUUACUUCAGAUUGGCACACUCCACUAACACUUGAAGUAAGCAAUAUGAAAUGUUUAAGUAAUUUUGUAUUGAUGUGAAGAUCUUUGAGGACAAAGGAGAUGCCCUGAAUGACAACACAUCCAUAGCCCACUCCCCGUGUCCUAGGCAAGCCCAGCUGUUAAGAUCCCCUAAAAGUCUGCUCCAGUGAUUGACGCUUAGUGUGGAUUAUGGACACUGUCUCCCACUUGCAG